GACGAACGCUGGCGGCGCGCCUAACACAUGCAAGUCGAACGAGAGAUGAAGAGCUUGCUCUUCAGAUCGAGUGGCGAACGGGUGAGUAACGCGUGAGGAACCUGCCUCAAAGAGGGGGACAACAGUUGGAAACGACUGCUAAUACCGCAUAAGCCCACGGCUCGGCAUCGAGCAGAGGGAAAAGGAGUGAUCCGCUUUGAGAUGGCCUCGCGUCCGAUUAGCUAGUUGGUGAGGUAACGGCCCACCAAGGCGACGAUCGGUAGCCGGACUGAGAGGUUGAACGGCCACAUUGGGACUGAGACACGGCCCAGACUCCUACGGGAGGCAGCAGUGGGGAAUAUUGCACAAUGGGGGGGAACCCUGAUGCAGCGACGCCGCGUGGAGGAAGAAGGGCCUUCGGGUUGUAACUGCUUUGUCAGGGACGAAAAGGACCGUGUUAAUACCAUGGUCUGCUGACGGUACCUGAAGAAUAAGCACCGGCUAACUACGUGCCA
rnacentral:rRNA from 1 species